UACGUGCGGUUCAACUGCAAUG
rnacentral:snRNA from 1 species